rnacentral:lncRNA from 10 species
UAAAUGUAGAGUUUGCCUCUACUGACUGUCAGCUGAACAUCUUGGUUAAGACUCAGACUGCCUGAUUCUUCUCUUCCACUUACAAGCCUUGGGAAAGUCACAUAUAACCAUGUGGAACCUCCACUUCCUCACAUGGAAGGACCCUCUCGCUAGAAACAUUUGGAUACAUGACAGUUCGCUUGCUCUGACCAAGGAGGAACAGCUGCCCAUACUCAGUUCCCUGGGUCUAAGAGACACUCAGACAACAUCUUUGUUAAAUUCAUUAUUUGCAAAGGCCUGGGCAGAAGACCAAAACAGAAAAAGAGCAGGAGAACCAAAUGACAACUCGGAGGAAAUGAUCAGGACUGAGAAGGAGAGGAGAAAAUCCAAGAGGCCAGACCCUCACGUGGA